GAGGCCGGCUGCGACUGGCGAGGGUGGGGCACCACCGGGGAGUGGCCGAGGCCGUCCAUGAAGGGGACGUCGCCCGCCUGGGCGUCCUGC
rnacentral:ncRNA from 2 species